CCAUUUGUUUGUGAACACGAUGAAGAAAGUUACAUGACGGGUGAAGAAUAAGUGGGAGAUGAGCUUCGGCUUGUCACCGGUGAAAUACCACUACCGUCGACGUUUAUUUGCUCAUUCAGUGAAAUCAGAACAAUAUUUUGGUCCCAAGCACGUGCCGGCAAGCUUGGUUUCGCUGUGGGUGUCGGCAUCUUGACCACGCCAGACGAAUCGUGACUUCGGUCGCGGCGUUUAAGCCUGAUGUGAUGUGCGGCCCGUUCUGAAGACAAUGUCAGGCAGGGAGUUUGACUGGAGCGACACAUCUGCCAAAUGGUAACGCAGGUGUCCCAAGGUGAGUCCAGCCAGGACGGAAACCUGGCGUGGAGUAAAAGGGCAAAAGCUUACCUGAUUUUGAUUUUCAGUACGAAUACAGACAGUGAAAGCGCGGCCUAUCAAGUCUUUGAUUUUGACAUUUGAAGGUUGAAGCAAGAGGUGUCAAAAAAGUUACCACAGGGAUAACUGGCUCAUGGUGGCCAAGCGUUCAUAGCGACGUCGCUCUCUCAUCCUUCGAUGUCGGCUCUCCUUAGCGUUGUGACGCAGAAUUCACCAAGCGUUGGACUGUUCACCCACAAAUAGGGAACGUGAACUGGGUGUAGACCGUCGUU
rnacentral:ncRNA from 1 species